AAACUAACAAGGAUUCCCCUAGUAACGGCGAGUGAAGAGGGAAGAGCCCAAGAUUGAAAGCUGGCGUCUUCGGCGUCCGCAUUGUAAUCUCAAGAAGUGUUUUCCGCUUCGGACCAAGCCUAAGUCCCCUGGAAAGGGGCAUCAUAGAGGGUGAUAAUCCCGUACAUGGCUUGGAGCGCCCGUAGCUUUGUGAUACACUUUCUAAGAGUCGAGUUGUUUGGGAAUGCAGCUCAAAAUGGGUGGUAAAUGCCAUCUAAGGCUAAAUAUUGGGGAGAGACCGAUAGCGAACAAGUACAGUGAUGGAAAGAUGAAAAGAACUUUGAAAAGAGAGUUAAACAGUACGUGAAAUUGCCAAAAGGGAAGGGUAGGAGGUCAGAGAUGCGGCCUAGGAUUCAGCCUUGCUUUUGCUUGGUGUUUUUCCUAGAUUGCAGGCCAACGUCGGUUUUGGGCACUGGAGAAGGGUGGAAGGAACGUGGCACCUCUCGGGGUGUGUUAUAGCCUUCCACUGGAUACAGCGACCGAGACCGAGGACAGCAGCGUACUCGCAAGAGCGGGCCUUCGGGCACCUUUACGCUUAGGGCGUUGGCAUAAUGGCCCUCUACCACCCGUCUUG
rnacentral:rRNA from 1 species